rnacentral:misc_RNA from 1 species
AAGUCGUAACAAGGUUUCCGUAGGUGAACCUGCGGAAGGAUCAUUAACACGUAUCCAACGUUAAACAACCCCGUGAACUUUCAGCCUGGUAAAUCAUCGCCAAAACAGUUUUGAUUCGGGACCUCUGUCAAGUGGGGUGCAAUUGAUGCGGUAGAAGCAGUGGCAUGGCUUCCCCAAGUGGUCAGUGAAUAACAGCGUCACUGGCUAUGUAAGGAUAACGCCUCACGGUUGCUAGAGGUCGAUCACCGGCCGGCAGACAUGUCACAGGGUCACCACGCCCCUUAAUAACCCCACUUUCAAUGCCCCGCCUAGUGGUAACGCGCUAGGUAACUAAAACCGAACAACUGUUAACAAUGGAUAUCUUGGUUCUC